rnacentral:lncRNA from 1 species
CUGAUCGAUAUCGAUACUUGGAGCGAGGAAUGCUUACCGUGCUCAUGUGUGUUUAAUUAAAGAAAACUUGAUGGACUAUCACGGCAGUGUGGGAGAAGAAACUGAAAGAGAAACGUUGACGUGGAAUACAGAGUACAGACGACCUGGUUUGAGCAGUUUUCUUACUUCAGGCCUUGUUUAGUUCUCAUAUAAAAACUUUUCGCCAUAUCACAUCGAAUAUUUGAUACAUGCAUUAAGCCAUUAAAUAUAGAAUAAAGAUAACUAAUUACACAAUUUUUAUGUAUUUACGAGACGAAUCUUUUAAACCUAAUUAAUUUAUGAUUAGAACUAAUUGUUACAAUUAUAAAAUAUGCUAUAGUUUUUAAAACCUUUGAUUUUCCGAACUAAACAAGGCCUGAAAAGCCAUGGAAGACCUGGUUUGAUCUGUAUCCUACCAUGCAAGGAAAAUCACUUUCUUAAGAGCUUCCCCGUUUCGUCAGCUACUGAAGGAAUGGUUGGUUUAAAUGGCUAGAGGCCUGUAUCUGAGUGGUGCAAGGAUUCGUUUUUUUUUUUUUUUUUUUUUUUUUUUUUUUUUUUUUUUUUGCGCGAGAAGGAUCUUCUCUCUUUUAGCAGAUGAUGGUGUGUAAACCAAGUUAAAUGUCCCAAAAUGAUAUGAUACAUAUUAAAUGCACUCCAUAAGUUCUUCUUUUUCUGAACCAUUCGUAUUAAUACAGUGAUAUAUAUGACUGUCUGCACAAAUCCUUCACCCCCAGUUUUUGGGGUUCCCUCCUUUGGCCACAAAGCAAACUGACCAAAUCCACUGAGCAUAAACAUAUGUUUAGCAUAUAAUGCAUUACUAUUUUCCUGUCAUUCUGAACUAUUGGCCCUCUCCACUAGCAGUGCUUCCUGAACCUCUUCUGCUUACAGUGGUGUUCUUCAGUAUC